rnacentral:rRNA from 1 species
UACGAACGCUGGCGGCGCGCUUAACACGUGCAAGUCGAGCGGUCCGGGCAACCGGGCAGCGGCGAACGGGUGAGUAACACGUGGGUAAUUUGCCCUCGAGUCUGGGAUAACCCGGCGAAAGCCGGGCUAAUACCGGAUGAGCUUCCGGAGAGGCAUCUCUCAGGGGGAAAAGUGGCAACACGCUCGAGGAUGAGCCCGCGGCCCAUCAGCUAGUUGGCGGGGUAAAGGCCCACCAAGGCGACGACGGGUAGCUGGUCUGAGAGGACGACCAGCCACACUGGAACUGAGACACGGUCCAGACUCCUACGGGAGGCAGCAGUGGGGAAUCUUGCGCAAUGGGCGAAAGCCUGACGCAGCGACGCCGCGUGUGCGAUGAAGGUCUUCGGAUCGUAAAGCACUGUCGCGAGGGAAGAAACCUGACGGUACCUCGAGAGGAAGCACCGGCUAACUCUGUGCCAGCAGCCGCGGUAAUACAGAGGGUGCGAGCGUUGUUCGGAAUUAUU